rnacentral:rRNA from 1 species
AGCGAGAGAGAGCUUGCUUUCUCGAGCGAGUGGCGAACGGGUGAGUAACGCGUGAGGAACCUGCCUCAAAGAGGGGGACAACAGUUGGAAACGACUGCUAAUACCGCAUAAGCCCACGGCUCGGCAUCGACCUGAGGGAAAAGGAGCAAUCCGCUUUGAGAUGGCCUCGCGUCCGAUUAGCUAGUUGGUGAGGUAACGGCCCACCAAGGCGACGAUCAGUAGCCGGACUGAGAGGAAGGUCCCCACAUUGGGACUGAGAUACGGCCCAGACUCC